UAGAGGCAGUCUCUCGCUUGACCCCACCUGAGAUGCGGAAACCCCCUCCAACCCCUCUGAUCUUGCUCCCAUCCGGGGUUAUCUGCAAGGUGGAAUGAGGUAGUUUCAACUUAUUCUUGGAAUAGGGGUGCAUUGCCCUAAGGGGGGGAGAAACCUUAAUUGACACUUAUUCCCCCAAUACCCAUCUCCCGACCUAGCUGCUAUAACUCACCUGGGCACUUCCCUAUCUCCCUGGAUUGCCCAUAUCCUGUCACCAGUCCAACCUCUUCCUUGGAGGUAGCUCACUAUCUUUGAUUGGACACCAGCACUUUUCUGUGACCCUUUCUCCCGUUCAUUCCAGGGUCCCUUCCCCAGCAAGAGCACCGGAGCGGGCCUGGGGGGUCCUAGCUCUCCAAGAGGGCGGAGCAUGAGCUGGAAAAGAAGUUGGUCUUGGUGAAGAAAAAGGGGAGAUGCUCUAGAUGGACAAGGGACCCUCCUCUCUGGUGUCCCUUCCUCAGCAAGGUAAGGAGAAAUAGCUCACUGCUUCCGUGUCCCCAGAUCCCUAAGGCGUGGCUAUCAAAGGUAAAGGGAGAUGAGCUGGGAGCACGUGGCCUCAGACUCAUCCUAGGUGCUCCACUCAGCCUCCUAAUCCAUCUAUCUGCCUGUGUUCUGCCUUUUCCUGAUGCAAACACACACACACAUCUGGGGUGCCUCUGUCUUCUUCCCCUUUGCUCAAGUUCCACAUGUCCCUCGCCCCUCAGCCAGCAGGGGACCUUGCCUGUGCCUGGGGCUGAGCAUCUGGGAAGCUAGAGAAGGGGAAGCCAGUGGGCCCUGAUGAGCACCGUCUCUUCAUUCUUAGACAGCAGUGCAGGGGCACAGAGCCAUCUCCAUGCUUAAAGAGGAACAGGCUCGUGACCUCCAGCCAUGCCUCCUGUUCAGGAUUAUCACACCUCAAGUUAGGGAGUACCCAGACUUGGUAGCAAAAGGUGGAUCACUGCUGUGUGACUAGCAAUUUAAAGGCCGAUGGCGAGUGGGC
rnacentral:lncRNA from 1 species